AUUGAACGCUGGCGGCAUGCCUAACACAUGCAAGUCGAACGGCAGCAUGGUCUAGCUUGCUAGACUGAUGGCGAGUGGCGGACGGGUGAGUAACGCGUAGGAACAUACCUUAAAGAGGGGGACAACUUGGGGAAACUCAAGCUAAUACCGCAUAAUUUCCUUGGAAAAAAGCUGGGGACCGCAAGGCCUGGCGCUUUAAGAAUAGCCUGCGUCCGAUUAGCUAGUUGGUAGGGUAAAGGCCUACCAAGGCGACGAUCGGUAGCUGGGCUGAGAGGCUGACCAGACACACUGGACCUGAGGGACGGUCCAGACUCCUACGGGAGGCAGCAGUGGGGAAUAUUGGACAGUGGGGGCAACCCCGAUCCAGCGAUGCCGCGUGUGUGAAGAAGGCCUGAGGGUUGUAAAGCACUUUCAGUGGGGAGGAGAUAGAUUUGGUUAAGAGCUGAGUUUAGAGACGUUACCCACAGAAGAAGCACCGGCUAACUCCGUGCCAGCCGCCGCAGUAA
rnacentral:rRNA from 1 species